CCUCCCUGCCCGGCGCCGCGGGCUUCCCUCCCAGCUCCGCUCUCACGCCCGCCCGUGGGCACGGCCGAUGUUUCUGGCCGGCUGUCCCAUCGGUUCCAUUCCUAAAGCUUUCCGGCUGCGUUCACGCACGUUAUAAAGGGGCCCUGGUGGCUCGGGGCGGUGGCUGGCUCUCUACCCGUGGCCAUACGGCACGCUUGUCUUUAGAGCCUCCGGCGUGGGGUCUCAAUUCGUGGCCCGGUUUUAGAAGGGACGGGCUGUUAUCAAACCCAUCGUGCAUUUGUGCAUUCAUCAGCCGUGUAAAGGAGGUAAAGAGCUGGGCAGGGGGAGCAGAAAUGAAUGGUCAAUGGAGAAGGCCUCUAGGAAAGCAGAUUAAAAGGUCUAUUUGUUUCCUUUACGGCAGGAGCUGGAGAAGGGCCGUGCCCGGUUCCCCGCCCCCAUUCCUUUCCAUAGCCCAGGGCUGCCGCCGCGUCCCGCGUUCCCCGCGCCGCGCUCCUUCCCGCGCGUUCCUUCCCGCACCGGCGGCUGCGCGCGGAGCGCGGAUGAAAUCAUUCCGCUUCCGCUCGGUGCGCUGCACGCUCUGUGGCCGCGCGUGCCAUAUGACGGGCCUUGUUUGACACGGUGCGGUUAUUAACUAACAUUAGCGGCUUUGGUCUGCGUUUAGACAAAGGCGCUUUUGAGAACGAGGGAGAUUUGGUGAGGAGGAUGGGACGAAAGUCUUAAACACUUGAAUGCAGCCGUAAGCAGGCGGUGAAGCUUUAGAGCUGUGUGAGAUGUAGGGGAGGGUGCCGACCCGUGCCGGCUGCUCUGAGGUAUUCGCAUGCCCAGCCUUGGAUGAAGCCAGCCUUGGGAAGUUGACUGCGCCGAGCAGAGAGCAGAGCCCGCAUCGCAGCUCCUUCACCCUCAGCUCACAAGGAGGUGCUACCUCUGUACUGACACAGCAGGGUAGAUGCAACUUCUUCAUUAGAGCCUGCUUUUCCACUGGAGGAGGAGGAUGUUUCUGCACUCUGGGGAAAUGUGGAAGCUCAGCAAGGAUAACCCGUGACUGCAGAUGAAUACCAGUAUUGAUAAAUCUGUAAGCAAGCCCUGGCAUUAACGUUAUUUCAAAAUUCCCUGCCUGGUGAGUCUGCCAGAUGCCGAGAUCUCAUAGGUCUGCUCUCACUGCAUAAAGGCACAGAGGCGUUGCUGUCAGUGGGCUCCUCCAUAUUGCUGGAGACUGCGGAGAAGCAAUUGCUGAAGUGUGCUGCAGCAUUUUUAGCUUCGUAGUGUCAAAAGAAAAAAAAAUACGCCUUCCAAAUAGCUGGAAGUGACGUGAAGGGCCAGACUAUCUUUUGUCUGAAGAGGGGUUAUUCCUGACAGUACCCAGUGGGUAUAUCGAAUGCUUCAGUUCAACUUCUAUGUCUGAUAAUAACAGUAUUUAAGCUCUGUGAGUCUGCAGGCCCCAAAUUAGUAGUGAAGUCUUUGCUGCUUUGACAGCAUGCUGUUUUCUUCCGCAUCCACUGGUAUGUAUUUAUUUGGUCCAUGGUUGCAAGCCCGUUAGCGUUCUUGAUCCCAGGACUGCACUGAAACUGAAUAAUUCAAAAAAAGGUUUUCCUAAUUUUCGUAAUUUUCUUCGAUUUUUCAGCCUCAAAGCUUCUGAAUUUUACUGCAUUUGAGAUAAUUACUGGUAUUGCUAGAGCUACAACUGCUUCUUAUUUCACCUGUUUAUGGGAGCAUGCUUCUUUUGGGGGAUGUGUCUUUUAGCAUUCUUCAUCUUAGGAAUUCUGUUGUGGUUUUGCAAUGAAAUGACAUGGAUGUUUUGCCUAAUAUUGUUCUCUUGAAACUUCCAGGCUAAUCUGUCUGGGAAACAUGGAAGAUAUCCUCAAGAGAUACUUCUUAUUGCUUAGCUACUGAAACACCUGCUAAAGCUGAGCUCUUUAAGAAAACUGAAAAUUAUUUAAAUGCAAAAAAGAGUGGGUUGAUCUGGAAAAGAAACUUCUCAAAAGACUAAAAUUAGAAUAGAAUGUGUUAGAAGAGUGGUGGGGGAGGAAGACUAAGGUUUUUAAAAUAAAAGCGCUGCUGCUUGAGUAAUGAUCAAGGAAAUUCUGAUUGGGAUACUAGCAGUUGCUCCAACCCAGAGUAAUUACUGACUUCAGCAAUAAUGAUGUUUCCCUAAAGAUAGAUAUACAAUAAAGAUUCAGAGUUUUUUGUUUGUUUGUUUUCUGAGAUAGUCCAAAGCAAGACUCAGCUUGAUGUUUAUAAAUCAGACUUUGAGGCAAAUCCUGUUACUGAACCAAAUAAAUAGCUCUUUUUUUAGAGAGACUGAUAACUGAAGAAAUAUGCUUCAGAUUUGAAAUAUGCUUUGCAGAUAAGUUCAGCUCUCCCAAAGUUGCAUGAAUGAGCAUCCUUUCUUCUUGCAGAAAUCUUGUCAAAGUGAGGUAAGCUUUCUUCUUUUUGCUUUUAGAGACUUUAUCUUCCUAUCUUUUGGUUCAUCACCGUAUGUUUGACUUUGGUCAUGAGUAAAAAAUCUAAAUAGUUGGCUCAAGACUAACGUGUUCCAUGAUGCAGUGCUUUUUAUCUUUUUUUUUUUUUUUUGUCUUAGUUACAGUUCUACCACCUCUUUUCUUCUAAACUUUUUGUAGUACUGUUAUGUAUUAGAGGAUUUUCAAGGAAUCACACUUCCUGGCAGGAGAUAAGGAUCUCCAUUGUGUGUAAAAUGGCAAGGAGCAAAGUCCCAAGCAAUAAAUAAUAGGAGGAAAAAUGUUCCUCUCUGUGGGGAUAAAAGAAGACCUCAACAAAGAAAUGAACUCAACUAGAAGUGAGUACUUUUUCUUCCAAUUUGAGAAGGGGCUGUGUCUACACUCUCUAAUAUUUUUGGGUGUGUUGAGAGGUAACCCAAAAUGAUGCUGGUCUUCUUUCAGAGUGAUAGAGGUUCCCUCCUUGAUGGUGUGGUAUGCAGGUCUGCCAUGCUCCCCUUGCUGAGAGUUCUUCAGAGGUUGCUGCGUUUCCCCCAUCACAGUGCUGUGAUGAAUGUGGGGCUGUAGGUAGUGCCAUCAGCCCUUUCAGCUGCUGCCCAGGGUGCUUUAACCUCAGCUUUAUUCAGAAUAAACAUUUCAAUUUCAUAGGAAAUUCUGUUCCCGUUUCCCACGGGAUUUAAACCUUUUUCAAUCAGCUCUGCUAAGUACCAUUCCAGUGUCCUGGGUCACAGCACUGCUGUUCUUAAAUCUCUUGGAGUUGGUCAUUUAUUAGCUUGCUGAGAAGUAGCCACUUAAAUACUUUCGUUUCUUCCUCUUGACUUUUGCAUCUUUGUGUGGAAUACUUCACCACAAAGAGUAAAAUGGGAUGGACUAGUUCUCUUCCUUUUAAAUCCCUUAAUUCUAUUACUCUUAAUUUUGUUGGAUAUAUUUUACACUGCUAUGAAGCAAUGGGUUCUUCCUUUAGAAAGACGGGACUGCAGUAUUUCAGGUUCUUCUCUAAACAUUAAAAAAAGUAGUCCUAUAGAGCAUUUUGCUGUAAGAUAUUUAAAAUCCGAGGAGUAGGAAGGAAUUGAAUUUCCUGAUUUAAAGUGACUCAGCCAGUGCUGCCUCCUUGUUUCAAAAUAACUUCUCUGCAUCUAGCUCUAACCUUGGCUGGCACUAGGUAGAGCUAUCAAAUAUUUUCUCGAUUAACUUGUCAUUCUCACAAGCAGCCAGUUUCUGAGCUUUUCCUCGGGGAUCCUGGAGCAAUUACCUGGUUAGCAAUCAUUAACUCCAAAACUGCACCACUCGGUGUCGUAAGGCAUCCUGCACAAUCACAAUCACUUGGGGCUUCCUUCAUCUCGAAGUAUGGCAAUUCUGUGCCUGACUGACAGGAACUCAGUAAUAAUAAGAUAAUAGUUUGUUGAUAUUGCUUGAUACAGCAUAUCUAGUCACACACACAACAGACCAAACCUUCUUCCCAUAACUUCAGUCUAAUAUAGAGAGUUGUUUCCUUUCUCUACCACUCCUAGGUGUUGGUGGUUGUCUGUACUAUGCAAGUUAAUGCAGAAACAUUUUGUAAAGCCUGGAACUCUUCUCUGUAGGAUUGCUGAAAAGGUGUACUUCCCUUGGGGUAAAUCUUGUUCUCAGCAUCGGAAAAUUAUUUCCAUGAAAAAUAAGAAAUAAAGGUGAUAUUUUGGAGGUAGGUAUUAUUGAAUAAGUUGAAGUAAUAAUGUGGAAGCUUCUAAUUAGUCCUGCCCAGGCAACCAAAGACUUUGAGCUUUCUUGAUUAGAAUCAGCAAGUGCGUAAGUGAAAGAAGAAAUUUGUAUUCAUUUCUAUUAGUCUUAAAUAGUGAUAUUUUUUUAAGACCUACUAGUCUUCUGUUUGUGUGUCGAUGAGUUCCGUGACAAGGCUGAUUUUGUAUGCUUACAUCUCUGAAGGGAUAUGCCAAAUGCAUGUGAACAUAUUUCAAGUAUUGUGGUCCAAAUGCUUUCAAUUUAGAAGCAGAAAUCAAAUAUAUUUAUUUACAUAUGUAGAGAGAUACUGGGUUGCAGAGCUCCCAAAAAUUCAGUCAGAAAUUUCAUUGUUGGGUUCACUUUUGGUUUCUUUCCCACCAUAAGGAAGUAAGAUUCUCACUGCUGAUGAAUGUGGCAUAGUUGCAUAUCUCUGUCAUUUCUUUCCCUUCUACCAUUGAACACUGCAAAGAGAAGAAUAUCCUGUGGUAUUCUACACAAGUAAGUGCAGCAUGAGAGGACAGUUUUGCACAGUGUUGUUCUUCAGUUCUAUAGGAAACUUCAGUUUUAUGAGAAGCUGUUUGGCAAAUCACAUCCCGUUGUCCUCUCUGGGAGCAGCCCUAGUUCUACACAAGGACUGAAGGUUUAUGAGUCCUGCCAGGCUUGGAAUCAGACUUGCCAUCUUACAAAGUCCUGAGCAGCCCAGGUGGCAUUGGCCAAUGUGUUCUGGCAGCAUCAGAGACCAAUGAUGUCCCAUCAUUCUGUCCAUCCUGGACAGUGUGGAUAACAUGGUCUCAUCUAGAAGGACACAAGGAUGUACACAGCAGCUUCUACAAGUGUUUGGGCAUGUUUGGGGCAGUUGUGUGACAACUGGAAGGGAUAAAAUGUCAUUUGUGACCAAAACUGUAUAUAUUCCACUUCUGUGAUGGAGACUGUUACAAACUGCUUCCAUGCCAUGGGAGCAGGAAGAGAAAUUGUACAGGAACGGCCAAAUGUUGAAUUCAGUUUUCUGCUGGACUGUAUGUUCAGCUCAGGAAUUGAACGUCAGCCCUCCUUGAUAUAGAAAUUAAUGGAUUCUCUUUGAAAGGAGAUCAGAGAAGAAUGUGUUCAACUUUGGGCUGAGGUGCAGAAAUAUAAAUGUUAGACUAAAUUUCAUAAUCUCAGCAUAUGUAACAACAAAGAGGGAAGAGCACAUAAAGCUCAUGUGCAGGCUUGGCAUCAUGCUUGAACUUGGAAAUUGUUCACAAUAACCUGAAUGUUAUUUAAAAUGCUUUCUGUAGGCACUAAAUACUAUUUUAUGAAGAAACGGUGCAAUAUUUCUGCCCUUGUGCUUCCAUGGGAAGCAAGGAAUGUGAAUCUGGGAGCAGUAGGGAUGAAGUAGGGGCUGUGCCAAACAGUUCAUCUAUAUGUGUUUCUGCAGCAGUGUCAGACUGUUGGAUAGCAAGGGAGAGUAAAAGCCAGGCUUCCAGAAUGGCAGAAGUUAGACCUUGAAUGCCUAUAGUUCCUGCACUGGAGGGCAAAACUGAGGCUACAGUAAUUUGUUUCUCAUUUAGUCCUUCAUCUUCUAGCUUUAUUCUUGUCACCAGAGAUAGGAUCGUUCUGACAGCUGUAAAAUUUAUAAAGGGAGAGUAGGACGUUUCAGACACUUGCCUGCCUUUAUGUGUGAUAAAUGAAGAGCCCUGCCUGUGCAGGGAGUGAGCUGCACGACUCCAAGUCUGAGUUCCAGCACAGUGUGAGGAGCGGGCCUGACCUUGCAGUGCUGGAGAUGGCUCUUGUGUCCGGCAUGACAAGUGCCUGGUGUUUCUCAUGUUGUUUUUCUAAGCACUUUUAACAGAGAAGAUGCAGUCACGUUAAGGACUCCUGUGCUGUCCUUUCUGAUGUUGGGCCUGUACUUCCCUUCCCACUGUUUUCCUGGACUUUCUCAUCUUUACACUGUUAUUGGGAGCACACAUUUUCAGCUUAUCUUCUCACUAUGUAGUGUAAUUACUGGCAGACCCAGGCAGGGCUACUGACAAAGAGGAGAUAAUGUCCCUUUGAACGUCCCCAAUUAGGAUAAUUCUGUUUUUUUUAGCUGUUCAUUCAUUAGCAGAGAAGUAAACAGUGCAGACAGAAGGCUGUGAAGCAGAGUGUUUAUUCACUUGUUUUCUAGCCUUCUCUCCAGAUUAAUGAAAUGAGUCACAGACAGUAAUAGCAUGCUUGGGAAAAGAAAAAACAACAAAACACAACUGGAGGUGGGAUAUGUGAGGCCACAGCUUGGUCAGACACCCACAUCUCACCAUACCUGCAUUUAGGACUUGAUUCUCUUUAUUAAAUGUGAAUGAUGGAUCAGUUGUAAAGACAGCCAACACGCCCAGGGCAAAUUGGCAUCUAAUAAGUGCAGGUUGGUUCAGGUGUAUGUGAAAGGAAACAAUUGCUGGCGAGAAUGUAAGACCAAGCAAUUGCGACUGUGCAAAAUUACCAGUAUGUUUUCCUACCUUCCCCGGCUCUUUGACAAAGAGAGCACAGGCUGCACCUUGCUCAGGUGAGUAACACCUGGCAUUGCUCUCUGCGUGCUGCCCAGUGCAGUUUCUGAAAUGCCAGUGACACGCAUUGCCAGUCCCAUGAAAAGGUGAAGGUGGAAUAGUGAGAGUGCUCUGGUUUCAAAGGUGCUCGAGGGUUUGUUGACCUUUUAGAGUUUGGAACGGAAAUACUUGGAAAGGUUACAUGAAUUUUGAGCAGAGAAGGAAACUGAGAACACAAGGAGAUAUCACAGAUGUGAUUUCAAUGCUGGACCAUCAUUCCUCUCUAGAUCGAGCACAGGUAAAUUUUUGCUUAGCAGCGGGACUUUUUGGCAAGGCAGAACAAACUGACAGCAGGGCAAGAGAGGAAUAAUAAUUAAUUGUGGAAAUUCUAGUAAGAACUAAUUACAGCCAACACCACCAGGCAACUCUGAUGUAGAAAGAAAAAAAGAGAAGCACCUCUGUGAUGCUCAGUCUUUGUAUUAGAUCCUGAAACAACGAUUAUUUAGUUGUAUUAUCUAAAGGGAAAUAAUGUGUACAGUGCAGUCUUAAAGACCUCUUUGAUUCUGGCUGUUUCUCCAUGGGAGUACGUAUCACAGAAAGCCAUCACCUCCAACUCUUUCAGCUGUUUAAUUUAUAAAUUCUCCAAAAAUUGGUUUCUAGCCAAGAUGUUUUGCUAUUUAUUGUUACUUUGUGUAAUACUGUUCAUUGGUGGUGUCUGUGUUGUGUUUCAUUUUGAGUGUCAGUAUUGCUAGGGUGGAGAUUCAAGCCACACAAAGCACACAAAAAGAGAAAAAGCAACAACAACAACAAAAGGGAUGAAGCUGGAGAAGCAAAGGGAGCUUGUCAAAGCCUGUAGAGAAGAAGUGAGGAUAAUUAAUCAGAUAAAUGGAGAUAGAGAGCAGGUGCACAGAGGGAAUAGUCUGAUGGGAACAAAAAGCAGUGGAAUGAAAAUGAACAUCAGAAGAGCUCAUUCUCCUUCUGACCAAGCCGACUGGGAAAUGCUAACUGUAAGGAUCUGAAAAUGAUACAGCUGAAGGAUCUCUAGCAGUAGCAGCCUGAAUUACUACCCAAGCCUGCUCAGAGAAUAAGAGCAAGAAGAAACACAAAGGUGCAUGGAUUGCGCCCUCACUCUUGGGCUGGUGGGGUACAUAUGGUACCGCAAGGUGCAGCCCUCCAACCGGACUCAGUGCCACUGAUCACAGCCCCCUGAGCUUGGCCAGUCAGACAGUUCUCUGUCCACCUCGCUGACCACUCAUCUAUCCCACAUGUCCUAAGCUUCUUCAGAAGGAUGUUGUGAGAGGCAGCCUUGCUGAAGUUGAGGUACACAACAUCCAUUGCUCUCCCCUCAUCUACCUGGAUGGUGAUGACAUUGCAGAAGGCUGCCAGUUUGGUUGAGCCUGGUUUCCCCAUGCUGACUCCUGAUAACCUUCUUCUUUCUGUUUGCUUGGAGAUGGCAUCCAAAAUAAAUUGGUUCAUCAUUUUACAUUGACUUUUAUAUGCCAUGGUAUCAGCUAUGCUUCCAUCCAAAGGAUUUAAUCAGUUCUCCAUAAUGUGGAAGUUGAAGAACAUCUUUCCUGUAUUAAAAAUAUUAAGAAUUUAAUCUAUGAGAAUUUACUACUUGUGAAAGAAACAACUUCUUCCAUUUGCAGCAUCCUUAAACAACCAUUCUUGAUAUCAGAUGGCAAUCUGAACUCCACACCCAACCUUGGCAUCUGUGGUCAUGACAUCAGUGAGGUAGGAACUGCAUCAUGAGCUCCUUACAGUGGCAUUUAAAUCUAACUUGCAAGUGCCCCAAACCCACUAUUCCUACAGUUAUGACCCAGUUGCAUUUUGCACUGCAGAGAGUGCACGUGUAUUCUAAGUAAUUGGUUUCCCUUUUUCAUAGGUAAACCUUUACAGUGAGUUUGCAGACCAGUUCUGUUUAAAACUAAGUGAUAUGAAAAGCCUUUAGAUUAGCAUUUUUAUGUUCACUUUAUUAUCUGGUAAUAGUGUUUGUUAUGUAUGUAUGUAUGUAUGCUUGUGUACAUUAGGUAGAGAUUGGUCUGAUAGUUUUUUAUGCUUUACCCACAGGAGGUGCCCUCUCCCCAUCCGCCUUCUUACCCCAUGUUCCUCCCCAAGUUCCUCUUCCCCAGCGAAUACAUACAGAACCCCCAAAGACUGUGAAUGUUGAUGCGUUAUUUUUGUUUCCCUUGGCCAAGGAGAAGUUGUGAAUUUCUUCUUACCAAUACAGUAAAAUAAUUGUGCAAAUGUUUAAAGCAGUUGUAAAUCAUUAAUUUGACAGGAACCCACAUAACAACCAAAAUGAGUUCAUGAAAAAAAAUGACUGGAGAAAUCUGUUGCCUAUCUCUCAUCAUACAUGGUAUCUACCCUAAUCCAAGGUGAAUUUCUUUUCAUCCUGUAGAGAUUCAAAAACUGAGUCAUCUUUCAUCUGCUUAGUAAGGAUAAAAAUGUUCCCAGAAUACUCCAGAGCUGCUGUGUUCCACGGGGCCCCUUUGUGCUUUGUAUAAUAUACUCAUAGUUCACCGUAGGGGUUCUUAUGUGGUUUCAUUUAUUUGUGAAGCCUUCUUAUUUUUAGAAUGAGCUCAUGCUCUGCUGCAGGGUCCAAGGUUUCAUGGCUAUGUAGAUGGAACUAUAAUGCUGCCAUAAAUCUGUCUUAAAAGAAAGAGAUUGCAGAAGUGGGACAAGGUAGAAUCUUCAGAUGUUAGAAGAAAAAAAAAAAUCAAGAAAGGGGAUUUGAAUUAAUCUGAAACUGGCUGGCGGACUGUUUGCAAAGGUACCAUAGCGAUUUUUGUUCAGAAGGCAGUGUUUGUAAAACAUUGCCGUGGUGUGCUCCAGAAACAAAAUGAGUCAGAGUUCAGAUGAUCGUAGACGUUAGGAGCAUGACAGCAGCACAGGGCUUGUCUAUGGAAAGCUGUGCAGAGCAGCUGCUGGCAGGAAGAGCAUGGCAUCGACAUGGCAAACCCAGGCGUCAUCUGUGGCCCUUCAGAGCAGCAACUCAGAACCAGAGAGUGACUGUGUAUGUGUGAUGUGUAUACAGAUGUAUAUACACACACACAUUUUUCCCCAGCUAAUGGACUAGAAAAACACUUGUACUAGGUGGAGUGAGACCAGUAGCACUGGCAUUGCUGUUGGAAUGAUGCCGCCAAGCACGCUGUCAGCACUGGGGACUCACUCUUAUUUGCAAGGACAAAGUCCUGUGUUGUAUGCUGUUCACUUCUUUUCAUUCAUACAUAACGCAUUGAUGCGUUCUGGAGAGGAGUUGUAUUCAAGCUCAAAGUUACUUUUGCGUUAUUUCAUUUAUCGUGCUGCUGCUUUUCAUUUUGCUUUUAUGCUUCACUUGGUGUUGUGCUGAAAUUACUGAUGAACGUUGUAUUUCAAAGUGAGUUCUCAUGGAACCAUUGGAAACAUCCAAGUCUGCCAUGCCUCUGUCACUGGUUCUGAUGAAAAUGGCUUUUCUUCCCUAGCCUGCAGACAGGCAGAGUUUGUAUUUUGCAGGCAGUGCUGUGGUGAUCAGCUGAGUAUAACGCAUCCGAGGACCUCUGGGAUGUCAUGUGUGUGAUGCUGGAGACAUCUGAAGGGAGCGAAUAAACAGGAGGAGGAACAGCUGUUUAGGAGGGUGCAUAGUGAUAGGACAAGGGGGAAUGGUCUUAAACUGAGA